AUACCCUGGUAGUCCCAGCCUUAAACGGUGUACACUUGGUGUGGGAGGAUUUGACCCCUUCUGUGCCGGAGCUAACGCGUUAAGUGUACCGCCUGGGGAGUACGGCCGCAAGGUUAAAACUCAAAGAAAUUGACGGGGGCCCGCACAAGCGGAGGAGCAUGUGGCUUAAUUCGAUGCAACGCGAAGAACCUUACCAGGACUUGACAUGCAACUGCACGUCCCGUGAAAGCGGGAUUCCUUCGAGGGUGUUGCACAGGUGCUGCAUGGCUGUCGUCAGUUCGUGCCGUGAGGUGUUGGGUUAAGUCCCGCAACGAACGCAACCCUUGUGUUUAGUUGCCACCACCGGUGAUGAAUCGGUGAGCACUCUAAACAGACUGCCCAUAUCAAGUGGGAGGAAGGUGAGGAUGACGUCAAGUCAGUAUGGCCUUUAUGUCCUGGGCUGCACACGUGCUACAAUGGCCGGUACAGAGGGAAGCAAGACCGCGAGGUGGAGCUAAUCCUAAAAAACCGGUCCCAGUUCGGAUUGAAGUCUGCAACUCGACUUCAUGAAGUUGGAUUCGCUAGUGAUGGCGCAUCAGNUACGGCGCCG
rnacentral:rRNA from 1 species